rnacentral:rRNA from 1 species
UUUUUUUUUUUGGGUUUUAUUUUUCUCUCGCGGGGGAAAAUACAUAUCAAUAAGCGGAGGAAAAGAAACUAACAAGGAUUCCCCUAGUAACUGCGAGUGAAGCGGGAAAAGCUCAAAUUUAAAAUCUGGCGGUCCUUGUGGCCGUCCGAGUUGUAAUCUAGAGAAGUGCUAUCCGCGCUGGACCGUGUACAAGUCUCCUGGAACGGAGCGUCAUAGAGGGUGAGAAUCCCGUCUUUGACACGGACUACCAGGGCUUUGUGAUGUGCUCUCAAAGAGUCGAGUUGUUUGGGAAUGCAGCUCUAAAUGGGUGGUAAAUUCCAUCUAAAGCUAAAUAUUGGCGAGAGACCGAUAGCGAACAAGUACCGUGAGGGAAAGAUGAAAAGAACUUUGGAAAGAGAGUUAAACAGUACGUGAAAUUGUUGAAAGGGAAACGCUUGAAGUCAGUCGCGUUGUUCGGGGAUCAACCUUGCUCUUUUGCUUGGUGUACUUUCCGUUUAACGGGUCAGCAUCAAUUUUGACCGGUGGAUAAAGGUCAGGGGAAUGUGGCAUCUUCGGAUGUGUUAUAGCCCUUGGUUGCAUACACCGGUUGGGAUUGAGGAACUCAGCACGCCGCAAGGCCGGGUCUUUGACCACGUACGUGCUUAGGAUGCUGGCAUAAUGGCUUUAAUCGACCCGUCUUGAAACACGGACCAAGGAGUCUAACAUGCCCGCGAGUGUUUGGGUGGAAAACCCGGACGCGUAAUGAAAGUGAAAGUUGAGAUCCCUGUCGUGGGGGAGCAUCGACGCCCGGACCAGACCUUUUGGUGACGGUUCCGCGGUAGAGCGUGUAUGUUGGGACCCGAAAGAUGGUGAACUAUGCCUGAAUAGGGUGAAGCCAGAGGAAACUUCUGGUGGAGGCUCGUAGCGGAUUCUGACGUGCAAAUCGAUCGUCGAAUUUGGGUAUAGGGGCGGAAAGACUAAUCGAACCAUCCAGGCCCUUGUUCCUGCAAGUUCUUCUCGUGAUUGAAAAAGGA